ACGUAAGUGGAAAACGAGGUGGGAAGGCAUAGACAGUCGAGGAGGUUGGCUUAGAAGCAGCCAUCCUUUAAAGAAAGCGUAAUAGCUCACUGAUCGAGUCGUCCUGCGCGGAAGAUGUAACGGGGCUCAAGCCAAUAACCGAAGCUGCGGAUAUCCGUAAGGAUAUGGUAGGGGAGCGUUCCGUAGGCCGUUGAAGGUGUGUCGAAAGGCAUGCUGGAGGUAUCGGAAGUGCGAAUGCUGACAUGAGUAGCGAUAAAGCGUGUGAAAAGCACGCUCGCCGAAAGCCCAAGGUUUCCUGCGCAACGUUCAUCGGCGCAGGGUGAGUCGGCCCCUAAGGCGAGGCCGAAAGGCGUAGUCGAUGGGAAACGGGUCAAUAUUCCCGUACCGAUCACAGAUGCGAUGGGGGGACGGAGAAGGUUAGCUCGGCCGGGUGUUGGACGUCCCGGUUUAAGCGUGUAGGCGUGCUGCAUAGGCAAAUCCGUGCGGCUUAGCUGAGGCGUGAUGACGAGGGCUCAUUGAGCC
rnacentral:rRNA from 1 species